rnacentral:rRNA from 1 species
GACGAACGCUGGCGGCGUGCCUAAUACAUGCAAGUAGAACGCUGAAGAGAGGAGCUUGCUCUUCUUGGAUGAGUUGCGAACGGGUGAGUAACGCGUAGGUAACCUGCCUGGUAGCGGGGGAUAACUAUUGGAAACGAUAGCUAAUACCGCAUAAAAUGGAUUAUCGCAUGAUAAUCCAUUGAAAGGUGCAAAUGCAUCACUACCAGAUGGACCUGCGUUGUAUUAGCUAGUUGGUGAGGUAACGGCUCACCAAGGCAACGAUACAUAGCCGACCUGAGAGGGUGAUCGGCCACACUGGGACUGAGACACGGCCCAGACUCCUACGGGAGGCAGCAGUAGGGAAUCUUCGGCAAUGGACGGAAGUCUGACCGAGCAACGCCGCGUGAGUGAAGAAGGUUUUCGGAUCGUAAAGCUCUGUUGUAAGAGAAGAACGAGUGUGAGAGUGGAAAGUUCACACUGUGACG